UCUAAUGGGGGAGUCUCAAGUCAAGCAGAGGUGGCAGGCGUACUUUCGAUACUUACUUAACGAGGAGGGGGAUCGUAUCAUAGAGCUAGGGGAGUUGGGGCAUUCAGAGCAACAUAGAGACCUUCAACUAUUUGAAGGCACGUGAUCUCGACCAAGUAAGGUGCAUCAAGGGUGAGGAUGACAGAGUUCUAAUGGGGGAGUCUCAAGUCAAGCAGAGGUGGCAGGCGUACUUUCGAUACUUACUUAACGAGGAGGGGGAUCGUAACAUAGAGCGAGGGGAUUUGGGCAUUCAGAGCAACAUAGAGACCUUGGGUACUGCAGGCGCAAUAGGGUGGAGGAGGUCAUGGGGGCUUUGCGUAGGAUAAGUAGGGGUCGAGCGACCGGG
rnacentral:lncRNA from 1 species